CAGGGGGGAAACGAAACGAAAGAGGGAACCCGACUACUGUAACAAAGGGUUCAAGCAAUCCCCAAGAGCACCAACAGCAAAUAGGGAAGGAAGAUGG
rnacentral:ribozyme from 1 species